GUGAAGGUACAUGGCUCAAUGGUUAGAGCAUUAUGCUCACAAUCAUGACAUAGUGAGUUUGAUUCCCAGACCAGGCUGUGUUGUGUUCUUGAGCAAGACACUUUAUUUCAUGUUGCCCCAGUUCACUCAGCUGUAGAAAUGAGUUGUAAUAUCACUGGUACCAAGCUGUA